UUCCUCUCCCCAGCUGCACCUCUCUCCUCGUCUCUCCAUCUGAGGGGUUAUUUCAGAGUCCUCUGUUUCAAGUUCAACCCAACCAGUGAGAAUGUUACUGCUGCAGGUUCUUAUUGUGACUUCAACAUGGUCUUAUGGAUCUUCGCAAAUAACUCUGAUACAAACUCCAUUGUCUGUCACCAGACAGGAAACUAAAACUGCACGUAUGGGGUGUAAAAUUUCUGGCGAAGGUUUUAAUUUUAACAGUGCUUAUAUACACUGGUAUCGACAGAGGCCUGAGGAAGCGCCAGAGAGGAUUCUGUAUAUUGGAUCAGGAUCAGCUAUUAUGGAUCCAGGCUUUGAUAGCAAAAAGUUUAAAGCUACUAAUGAUGUUUCUACCUCCACCUCUAAUCUCAGAGUUGACCAACUAACCCAAGAGGAUGCUGCUACCUAUUAUUGUGCCACCUGGGAUAUCACAGUAGUAGAAAGCCAUAGACAACCCAUACAAAAACCCACUCUGCAUUCUGAGCCACAGCUUUUCAAAUGUAUGAAACCAGACACAUCCCUUAUCCUUCCUCUCAACUUCGAACCAACAGCAGAAACUCCUGACUGGUUUCUGCAAUAUGUCAGGAAGAACAACAGCACAGAACUGCAGUUUUGAAUUACAUUUUGUUACAAAUCACAACUACACCUUUUAGAGCAGGUCAAAG